GCAAUGAGGUCCCAAAACACUCUCCCAAAGUGCAGAUCAUGGGAUGGUAAGAGAAUGUUUCUGUACCCGAAAAUAGUGUUUCUGUCAUUCAGGCAAGAUUCUAGCUUUGCCUUUUCCCUACUUCCCAUUUUCUACCUCAGAAACAGAAAUUGGAAUAUGAGAGGGUGGAGAAUCGCUUUAGAGGAACUGAAACAGAGUUUGUAAGUUGAAUGGUUUCUAGCCCAUGUGUAAACCUGGGUGCGGUGUGAGAGGAGCUCUGCACGACUCCACGGAAGGGAACCCAGUGAGUUGUAGCUAUAGUUUCUUAAUUGAUUUAGAGGUGACAGCGUAAACAAUGGCUCUAAAAAAAGGUGAAACUCCAUUUACCAAAACCAAAUUUGACACUAGCUCCCAAAGCUAACUUGUUAAUACAGAUUUAUCUUAGGCUAGUGAAGUGGCACUAAAUUUGAAACUGAGAGUCUUGGGUGCUGUCUUUUAUCUGUCUUGUGGCUUACUGAAUGGUCACAAAUAAGUCAAGUGACCUCUUCAUGUUCCAGUUCCUUUUCAGUAAUGGGACUAACCAUAGGAAAAAAUAGUAUUGGCCUAAAAUGCUGAUCUCUUUCCUUUGACCCUGAAAACUCCAAGGAACUCCAGUUAGGGCUUCCUCAACCUAGUAAGAUUUGUAAGUUGGUAGAAUCUUACUUAUCACCCCUGACUUUCUUCCUUCUUCCUCCUUAGUGAAAUAGACAGCAAGUUAGAGCAAAUGGAGCAAUAUUUAGUGCUAAAGCUUUAGAGCCAGGGGAGGGUAAUCACCAACACGGGCCAAGCCGUAAUGACUUGGUACACCCAGAGAAGGCUGGGCUGCAGCCAGGCAGAUAACCUAAGGGACUGCUGCUGUUCUCUCCCGGCACACACACGUGCUCAUCACUCAGCGCCUGGCAAGAUCAGGGCUGGAGUGACACAGGCAUGCAUCCAAUACCUGAUCCAGAAAUAGGCCCUGGCUGCAGGCACAGCAAGUAAACAAACGUCCCGCCAGCUGUGGCCGAGGUGCACCCUUCCAAGCAGACCUGCCCACCAGGACCAUUGCUGGAAGACGGAAGCCCUGGAGCCUCUCCCUGGCCCUGUUUUGGAAGGAGUCCUCCAAGGCUGAGAACAGCCCCAGCCACAUGAAGCAGGCAAGGUUUUCUUGAAAAUUCUAAAUUAUCCCAACCAGCUUUGGCCCUACGUCAGUUAUAAGACUCAAGAUAGGAUACUGCCAUUGGGAUGUUAGGUUUGUGCGAGGGCUGUUUACUUGAGCCCAGAAAUAGGUUAUUUAAGGCAGAGAUUCAUUCAUCUAACCAAUAUUUGUUGAGCCCCUGCCAUGUUCCAGGCAUGGUGCAUGGUGUUAAAUAAAGCAGAACGGCAUCUUCCCACAUAGAAUGAUGGAGGGGGGAGUAGAGCCUACCUCAUUAAUUCUGUGGAAGUUGUAAGCACAAGGUGCUUUGAGAGCACAUGGGAAGGAGAUAUGAGAGCCCUAGACCAGUUGGAGUGGGGUAGGAGAGAGGCCGUGUUAGGGGAGCUGAGUCCAUAGAAAUGAAUAGGAGUGAGAGGAAAUAGAAGAGUAAGAGCAUGGGGACCAAGAGGAGUCCUGGAAGAGGAAAACAGCAUGUGCAAAGCCCUAAAAGCAAAAGGGAACUUGGAGGAUGGAAGGUAGUUCAGUGUAGCUGGAGCACAAAGAACAAAGGAGGGACAGACGAGAGGUGAGGGUGGAAAUUACUAAACAAGGCCAGGUGUGAAGGAUUUUAUAAACCAUGUUAAGGAGUUUGGAGUUUAUUGUGGGAGAACAGGGAGCUAAUGGCUGAUUUUAAGAGGGGCAGUGACAAGAUGAGAUUUACAUCUAGAAGGUUAUGGCUGCCAUGGGUUUGCCAUAAUUAAAGUGAUUGAGGGUGGACAAGUUAUUCACACUUGGCAGCGAUACAUGUCUAUGUGAAAUGGUUUUUCUUUGUUUUUAUUUUCUACUUCAAUUUUUCUUGUUAUUUUUUCACUAUUACAGAACAAGUAGAAUCAUGUAUGGCAGAUUGUAUUUUCCAAAGAUGGCCAAAUCAGUGUAUCCCAUCCCACUCAUUCAUGUUCCAGUGUGAUGUGGACACUCCUCCCCUGAGAUCUUCAGUCAAUAUUCCCUCCCUUUGAACCUGGGCAGACCUAUGUAACUGCCUUGCUAAUAGAGUACAGCAUAAAUAAUGGGACUUCUGAGGCAAGGUCAUGAAAGCACUCCACCUGGGGUCUCUCUCUCUCUCUCUCAGCAUGCUCCUUGGUAGUUCUGAGCCGGCAUGUAAGAAGUCGGCCACAGAGAGGUAGAGAAGCCCAGGGAGUCCCAGCUGUUUGAGUCUUCCCACCCCAGGCAUCAGACAUAUAAGCAAAGACCCAUUGCUCCUGGGACUAGAAGCAGAAACCCCCUACCCAGGGGCAGAAGCAGGAAACUGUCCUGGGCUGAAGAUUCAAGCGAAGGUCCACUCUGUUGUGGGGAGGGCAAGAACUUUGGCUAAUCCCAGAUGAACCACAUAUAAGGCAGAGUUUGGCUUCCAUAGGGAAGAGGGACAGAAACACUGAGAAAGUCCCACUGCUGAAGCUCGGGUGCCUAGGACCUAUUUAAGACUGAAGCCGGGCCAGGGUAACAGAAUCAACCCUGCCCUGCCCUGCCUGAGCCUGGCACCAGAUCACAAGCAACAGAAGUCUUCUGCCAGCUGAAAAGCUGAGUGUGGGACAGCAGCACUGAGGAAGCCCUGACACCCCAGUCCCCACUCUAAGCAGCCCACCACUAGAGGAAUUUGAAACCUGGGGUGCACUGAAGGUAAUGAGAGCACAACCAAACCCAAACCCUGUCCAAUUCCUAACAAGACUGACUCAACCCCCCAGACCAACAGGCUGACAGAAGAGGCAGCCCCACUCCCAGAUACAGAUACUAUUUACCUCAGUCUCUGCUGUUUUAUACACCAUGGGCAUUCAGUUAAAAAACUGCAAAACAUAGGUCAGGCGCUAUGGCUCACACUUGUAAUCCUAGCACUUUGGGAGGCCGAGACAGGUGUAUCACCUGAGGUCAGGAGUUUCAGACCAGCCUGGUCAACAUGGCGAAACCCCAUCUCUACUAAAAAUACAAAAAUUAGCCAGGUGUUGGUGGUGUGUGCCUGUAGUCCCAGCUACUCCACAGGCUGAGGCAGGAGAAUCACUUGAACCUGGGAGGGUGAGGUUGCAGUGAGCUGAGAUGGCCCCACUACACUCCAGCCUGGGCAACAGAGCAAGACUGUCUCAAAAAAAAAAAAAUUGCAAAACACACAAAAAG
rnacentral:lncRNA from 1 species